rnacentral:rRNA from 1 species
UGAAUACGAGAUACUACGGUGUCGAAGCAGUCUAUGUCAUACUUCCAAGAAAAGCUUGCACUGUCAUAAACAAAUAAUGCCUGUACCAUAACCGACACAGGUGGGUAGGUAGAGUAUACUAAGGGGCGCGAGAUAACUCUCUCUAAGGAACUCGGCAAAAUGACUCCGUAACUUCGGGAGAAGGAGUGCCUUAUAUUUAUAAGGUUGCAAUAACAAGAUCCAAGCAACUGUUUAUCAAAAACACAGGUCUCCGCUAAGUCGUAAGACGAUGUAUGGGGGCUGACGCCUGCCCAGUGCCAGAAGGUUAAAGAAGUUGGUUAGCUUUUGCGAAGCUGAUAACUGAAGCCCUGGUGAACGGCGGCCGUAACUAUAACGGUCCUAAGGUAGCGAAAUUCCUUGUCGGGUAAGUUCCGACCCGCACGAAAGGCGUAAUGAUUUGGAUACUGUCUCGGAGAGGGACUCGGUGAAAUAGACUUGUCUGUGAAGAUGCGGACUACUUGCACCAGGACAGAAAGACCCUAUGAAGCUUUACUGUAACCUGAAAUUGAAAUUGGACUUUACUUGCGCAGGAUAGGUGGGAGGCUUUGAGAAUAUUCUUGCGGGAAUAUUGGAGCCAUCAGUGAGAUACCACUCUGGUAAUGUUAGAUUUCUAACUUUGUAUCAUUAUCUGGUCAAAGAACAGUUUCAGGCGGGCAGUUUGACUGGGGCGGUCGCCUCCUAAACGGUAACGGAGGCGCACAAAGGUUUCCUCUGAACGGGUAGAAAUCGUAUCUAGAGUGUAAAGGCAUAAGGAAGCUUGACUGUGAGACCUACAAGUCGAGCAGGGACGAAAGUCGGUCUUAGUGAUCUGACGGUGCUGAGUGGAAAGGCCGUCACUCAACGGAUAAAAGUUACUCUAGGAUAACAGGCUGAUCUCCCCCAAGAGUUCACAUCGACGGGGAGGUUUGGCACCUCGAUGUCGGCUCAUCGCAUCCUGGGGCGGUAGUACGUCCCAAGGGUUGGGCUGUUCGCCCAUGAAAGCGGUACGCGAGCUGGGUUCAGAACGUCGUGAGACAGUUCGGUCCAUAUCCGGUGUAAGCGUUAGAAUAUUGAGAGGAGCCUUCUUUAGUACGAGAGGACCGAGAAGGAUGCACCGCUGGUGUACCAGUUAUUGUGCCAACAGUAAACGCUGGGUAGCUAUGUGUGGAGUGGAUAACCGCUGAAAGCAUCUAAGUGGGAAGCCCACCUCAAGAUAAG